GCUAAAAGGUGUUCCUUAUUAGCUAACUGUAGUAACACAUGCUAAUUACACAGCUAACGUAACCACUAAGAUUAGCCGCUGCCUUCUUGUAGCUAACCAACACAUCCGGAGCAGUUGAUGUACUUCCGGGCUACGGGAAACCAGUGGAGUUGGUGCCUGGCACUCAGAGAGGUGAUGCAUCGCCUGGCAACAGCAUAAAUUGGAUGAAUCUCCUUGUGGCAGUUGUGAUGAACAUUAUGAUAAGUAAAGAGCUCCCCAGCACAGCCAUUGGUGGACAGCAAUCCCCUCAAACAUCUGGUGGCCUGCCUGCAUGUAAGAGAGAGAGAGACAGCUGUGAAACGAGUGAGAGAGGGAUGAUAUUUUCUAACGCCACAUCAGUAAAAAUGGGGGAAAUGUCACUUUGGAUAACAGGAAGUAGAUUUUCAUAACCAGACAGCUGCUGAUGGAGGGUCCUGUCUUCGUUGACUUACAGAUACUGAAGAAAAAAUAAGAAAGAAAGCAAAUGCUGCAAUAAUCCAAGAUGAUAAGAGACAGAGGUAACAGCUGCUGUGUCGUCCAUCCUGGAACAGCCUCAGACAAGCCAAAUCAAUACACAUCUUUAAAAAGCUGCUGAAAGC